GAAAAUGAAAUUUCAGAACACACCCUAGAAAGUUACAGAUCAAGGUCAAAUAAUGAAGAAACAUCUUCUCAAGAAAAAAAUGACCAAACAUCCCUGUCUCGGGGCUGCCUGGGUCACCUCUCGCGUUGGUGUUCAGAAGCUAAAACAGACAGGAAGGGAACUAUCCAGCCCCUGUGCCUGGAGGCAAAGCCAGCUCGGGUCCCAGUGAGCACCGUGUAGCUGUCUGCUUGUGGAGGAACUUUGGAAUGAAUGGGACCUUACAGACCGAUCCUAGGAAAUUCCUUUCCAGUUGGACUUUCAGAAGGUGACACAGGUACUGAGGAGGUGGAGGCUGGAAGAGCCCAGAUUCGAAGCUGGCCUGGGCAGAAAAGUGUGUGAGUUUCAUCACCAACCAACAAGCAAAAUGCUGGGCUGGAGAUGUGGCUCAAAUUAUCAAAUAACAGCUGUUAGUGAAGAAAGGCUCUGCGUUCUAAUCCCAGUACCAGCACCCCAAAGAAGGUGAUGCCCGUGUGGGUGUUGAGACAAACCAGUACAUAUGACGGAGGGCGGAGAGGAAGGCCCUGACCCACGGCCUGGACAGGACGGGGAUCCAAGGAGGCUCCACCGUUCCCAUCGACGACUUCUGGCCUAACGAAUGGCUUCUUCCGUUCUUCAGCAAAGGGCAGGAUGUACAUCUGAGGUUCUAGAGCCUGUCACCCUAGUUGCGACUCAGAGUUUUGCAUGUGAGUGACAUGGAGCGUGUCUUUAUUUCCAUCAGUUUGUCUGUCCAGCAAGCUCGCGUUGCUUGGAUCGGAACAAACCCCUUCUCAGAUGACACGGGUAUGCGUUUUCGUCAGCACGUUAGCUGCACACACGUCCACAUGCGCAUACAGUGUGUCUCAACACUCCUUCUCCUCAUCCCACCCCCUCCUGAAAACAAUUUCCACGGGUUUCACGGUUCUGUUUUCAUACAUGCAAAUAAAGUGUGUCACCAUA